AGCAGCCGCGGUAAUUCCAGCUCCAAUAGCGUAUAUUAAAGUUGUUGCAGUUAAAAAGCUCGUAGUUGAAUUUCGGGAUCAAGUCGUCGGUCGUGCCUCGGUACGCACUGGUGACAUUGGUUUCUCCCUUCUGAAGAACCUUGAUGUCAUUAAUUUGGUGUCUUGGGGAAUCAGGACUGUUACUUUGAAAAAAUUAGAGUGUUUAAAGCAAGCUCACGCUUGAAUACAUUAGCAUGGAAUAAUGAAAUAGGACGUUUGAUUCUAUUUUGUUGGUUUCUAGGAUCGACGUAAUGAUUAAUAGGGAUAGUUGGGGGCAUUAGUAUUCAAUUGUCAGAGGUGAAAUUCUUGGAUUUAUUGAAGACUAACUACUGCGAAAGCAUUUGCCAAGGAUGUUUUCAUUAAUCAAGAACGAAAGUUAGGGGAUCGAAGACGAUCAGAUACCGUCGUAGU
rnacentral:rRNA from 1 species